AAAUGACGUGCUUGCCGGGCACGGGGGCUCAACCUGUGAUCCCAGCACUGUGGGAGGCCGAGGUGGGUGGAUCACCUGAGGUCAGGAGUUCGAGACCAGCCUGGUCAACAUGGUGAAACCCCGUCUCUACUAAA